GGUGGGGGACAACCAUUGGAAACGAUGGCUAAUACCGCAUAAUGUCUACGGACCAAAGGGGGCUUCGGCUCUCGCCUUUAGAUUGGCCCAAGUGGGAUUAGCUAGUUGGUGAGGUAAAGGCUCACCAAGGCGACGAUCCCUAGCUGGUUUGAGAGGAUGAUCAGCCACACUGGAACUGAGACACGGUCCAGACUCCUACGGGAGGCAGCAGUGGGGAAUAUUGCACAAUGGGCGCAAGCCUGAUGCAGCCAUGCCGCGUGUGUGAAGAAGGCCUUCGGGUUGUAAAGCACUUUCAGUCAGGAGGAAAGGUUAGUAGUUAAUACCUGCUAGCUGUGACGUUACUGACAGAAGAAGCACCGGCUAACUCCGUGCCAGCAGCCGCGGUAAUACGGAGGGUGCGAGCGUUAAUCGGAAUUACUGGGCGUAAAGCGUACGCAGGCGGUUUGUUAAGCGAGAUGUGAAAGCCCCGGGCUUAACCUGGGAACUGCAUUUCGAACUGGCAAACUAGAGUGUGAUAGAGGGUGGUAGAAUUUCAGGUGUAGCGGUGAAAUGCGUAGAGAU
rnacentral:rRNA from 1 species